rnacentral:lncRNA from 1 species
GGUCAGUGAGAUUAAGCAAAGUCAUAUAGACAUUGAGUAGCACAACUGAUAGUUUGAACCAAAAUUAGUCUGAUGCCAAAGCCCUUUCCACUUACAAGCUCUCUCCCUCUAUUAGACUGUAAGCCCCUCAGCAGCAGAAAAUGCCUUACUCAUCUUCAUGUCCCAGGAACUUUACAGAAUGGGUGCUCAACAAAUGUUUAUUGAGAUGUUCAGUUAACCAGCUGGAUUCAAGUGGAGGAAUACUAGAGGUAGGGGACCAAUCAGAAGGCCAUUGAUUGCAGGAUUAGAGAUAGUUAUAGUAAGUAGCAGAAUUAACUCCAUGCAGUUAAAAACAGAAGGGUGAAGGACAAAGAAAUAUUUAAGAGGUGGAAUUGACAGAAUGUUUGGAUAAAAUUGAUAGAAUAUAAGUGGCUGGAUAUAAAAGGAGAGGGGAAGUAGGUGUCUUUAUUGACUCCCAGGUGUCUGAGUGGAGAAAGUGAGUGGCUAGGCUUGCCCUUCACUCAAAUACAGAUUAAAAGACACAAAUGUGUGUUUGAGUUUGCUCUGACAUGUUCACAUGAAUAUGACUCUUCAGCUGUUGGACAAAUGGGGCUGG